rnacentral:lncRNA from 1 species
GAUCCCCACCCCCAAACCCCAACCCCAGGUUCAACACCAUCACCUCCUCUUCUGCAAUCCAUAUCAGACCCGAUCCGCACAACCCGAGGCUAACCCAACUCCAAUUACAGCAACGACCUAUCUACAACAUCUCCAAACGAUUUCUCUCGACGGCGACGAGUUUGACGGCCGAACCUGCUAGGUCCAAAAAUUGCAUCUUUUUGUUCUUUUCUCUUCUCUUGCUCGCCUUAUCGCCGCCAUCGCCGUCAAAAUACGAGAUUGUGGUAAGGUUUGAGGCACGGGUAAAAUUUAUUGGUGGAAACUAAAAUUUCAAAGAUAUUGUGGGCGACGGAUUUGGAGAAGAUGGUGGUGGUGGUGGAGGGGUGAGUUGGUGGUGAGUGGCGGAGAAGAAGCGGCGGCCGGAUGGACAUGAGUGAUGUUGCCUGUGAGUUGGGUGGGAGUGCGGGCCUGUUAGUUGGGUUUGGAUGGCAGGGGUUUUGGAGAAGAAGCUAUUUUUUUUUCUUUUCUUUUCUUUUCUUUAUUUAAUAGAAUGUAAAAAUAUAUAAAAACUUUUAAUGUCACAAUAUAUAUUUUAUUUUGUUUUAAA